UCUUGCAAGUUUUCAUAAUUAGCCAUGAGACUAUAGGUUGUUUAGUGAUGGAGAUGCGAGAGAAUCAAUAUUUUAAAAAACAUUUAAAAUCAACUGUAACGCGUGGACUGAUUUUUUAUCUUUAUGUUGAGAUCAUUGCAAAUCCACAUGUAGUGGUGAGAAAUCGUACAGAGGGAUCCUGUGGACACUUCACCUGGUCUCUCCCAGUGGUAACGCCCUGCACAACCACAGCACAAACAUCACAGCUGGGUGACUGACAGCGGUACAGGCAAGAUACAGAACAUCACAGCAAGGAUCUGCCUGCUGCCUCUUACGGAGCUGAUCAAGGACUACACUCCGCGCUGAGCUGCUCCUGAGACGCUGAGCUGCCGGCUGGACAGCAGACUCACGCUGCCCGAUAGAAGAUGAAG